AUCUAACGCUGGCGGCAGGCCUAACACAUGCAAGUCGAACGAACCUUUCGGGGUUAGUGGCGGACGGGUGAGUAACACGUGGGAACGUGCCUUUAGGUUCGGAAUAACUCAGGGAAACUUGUGCUAAUACCGAAUGUGCCCUUCGGGGGAAAGAUUAAUCGCCUUUAGAGCGGCCCGCGUCUGAUUAGCUAGUUGGUUGAGGUAAUGGCUCACCAAGGCGACGAUCAGUAGCUGGUCUGAGAGGAUGAUCAGCCACAUUGGGACUGUGACACGGCCCAAACUCCUACGGGAGGCAGCAGUGGGGAAUCUUGCGCAAUGGGCGAAAGCCUGACGCAGCCAUGCCGCGUGAAUGAUGAAGGUCUUAGGAUUGUAAAAUUCUUUCACCGGGGACGAUAAUGACGGUACCCGGAGAAGAAGCCCCGGCUAACUUCGUG
rnacentral:rRNA from 1 species